UCUCUGGUAGUAUAGUGGUGAGUAUCCGCGCCUGUCACGUGCGAGACCGGGGUUCGAUUCCCCGCCAGAGAG
rfam:Strongyloides venezuelensis genome assembly, scaffold: SVE_scaffold0000021